UCUAUCCCCAAAAAAAGCCCAUUUGACUCCUUAACUAUUUAUCUUAUCCUUUUUUUGAGUAGUUCAAAAA
rnacentral:tRNA from 1 species